CCUACGGGAGGCAGCAGUGAGGAAUAUUGGUCAAUGGGCGCGAGCCUGAACCAGCCAAGUAGCGUGAAGGAUGACUGCCCUACGGGUUGUAAACUUCUUUUAUAAAGGAAUACAGUGAGGCACGUGUGCCUUUUUGUAUGUACUUUAUGAAUACGGAUCGGCUAACUCCGUGCCAGCAGCCGCGGUAAUAUGGAGGAUCCGAGCGUUAUCUGGAUUUAUUGGGUUUAAAGGGAGCGUAGAUGGGUUGUUAAGUCAGUUGUGAAAGUAUUCGGCUGAACCGGAAAAUUGAAAGUGAUACUGGCAGCCUUGAGUACAGUUGAGGUAGGCGGAAUUCGUGGUGUAGCGGUGAAAUGCUUAGAUAGCACGCAGAACUCCGAUUGCGAAGGCAGCUUACUAAACUGCCACUGACAUUGAUGCUCGAAAGUGUGGGUAUCAAACAGGAUUAGAUACCCCUGUAGUC
rnacentral:rRNA from 1 species